AGUCCCGGCAGGGAUAAAUGUGCUCCUGCCCUUGUGCAGCCUCAGCCAGCGCUGCCCAGGCCCAGAGGAAGAUGAAGGUCGCUGUGCUCAGCGUGGCCCUGCUCUUCACCAUCCUGCUGAGCCCCCCGGCAGAUGCCAAGCCCAUUGAGGUCGACGGCGUCCAAUGUGGGGAGGCAGGCGGGAUCGGCGGCCCGGUGGGUACCAGGGCUUGUGCUGGGCCCAGACCCUCCCCUCUGGUGGCCACCACCCUCCAGGCCAUCCCAGUGCUCCCCAGUCCACCCCAGUGUGCACCGGGGAGGCCCUUCCUCAGGGCCCCCACUCUAUUCCCACACACCCCAGUCCACCCCACCACACA